rfam:Tupaia chinensis contig73551, whole genome shotgun sequence.
GUGCUUGCUUUGGCAACAUAUAUACUAAAACUCAAGCGAAACAGAGAUUAGCAGGGCCCCUGCACAAGGAUGACACACAAAUUCGUGAAGCGUUCCAUAUUUUU